AUGGGGACAGAGCUGCAGCCGCCCUGCAGCUCACUCAAUGCAGAACUGCAACUGAAGACGCAGACAGUGAGGGAGUACAACACCAGCCACAGGGCUGGGGGUCAGAGGAAAGAGAAGGAAGGCGAGGGGACCCAGGUGGUGCUGGAGCUUUUCAGGAUCCUGACUGUGGUGGUGGAGUCACUAACAGGUGAUAAAAUUCCUGGCAGUGGCGGCGGUGGAGGCGGUGGUGUGGUCCGGGGCAGGAGGACUCGGUGCUGUUCUGGCGAGGUACAGGCCAGAGUGAUGAUUCUGACAUUUGGGACGAUUCGGCAUUGAUAAAAGCUUAUGAUAAAGCUGUGGCUUCAUUUAAGCAUGCUCUCAAGAAUGGUGACAUUUGUGAAACCUCAGAUAAACCAAAAGGCACACCUAGAAGAAAACCUGCUAAGAAGAAUAAAAGCCAAAAAAGGAAUACUGCAACGCCCUUGAAACAGUGGAAAGUUGGUGACAAAUGUUCUGCCAUUUGGUCGGAAGAUGGUUGCCUUUACCCAGCUACCAUCGCCUCGGUUGAUUUUAAGAGAGAAACCUGUGUUGUGGUUUACACUGGAUAUGGAAAUAGGAGCAAAAUCUGUCUGAUCUACUUUCCACAACCUCUGAAGUAACUAAUAAUAUAGAACGGAAUGCUCAAGAGAAUGAAAAUGAAAAUCAAAGUUCAACAAAUGAAAGUGAAAACUCUAGGUCUCCUGGAAAUAAAUCAAAUAAUAUCAAGUCAAAAACUACUCCAUGGAACUCUUUUCUCCCUCUGGCUCCCCCCAUGCCAGGGUCAGGACUGGGACUAGGAAAGCCAGGUUUAAAAUUCAAUGGCCCCCCACUGCCACCGCCGCGGCCACCACCCUACUUCCUGUCAUGCUGGCUGCCUCCAUUUCCUUCUGCACCACCAAUAAUUCCCCCACCACCUCCCAUAUGUCCAGAUUCUCUUGAUGAUACUGAUGCUUUGGGAAGUAUGUUAAUCUCUUGGUACAUGAGUGGCUAUCAUACUGGCUAUUAUAUGGGUUUUAGACAAAAUCAAAAAGAAGGACGGUAUUCACAUUCCAGUUAAGGAGAAAUACUGAGGAUAGAGCAACAAGUUAAAUGGCACCACUAAAGAAAUGAUCAGACAGGUCCAGAAUGUGGAAUGCUGUAGAAGAUAACGGCCUUGUUUCUUCAAAAUAUCAGAGUUGGGAAGGAAAAAAGGAGAUGUGAAUGGGUAACUGUUCUGGAUUUACAGUUGCUUAAGAGACAUAACCAAAUGCAAUGUGGAAUCCUUGAUUGGACCCUAUUUUA